AAGUCGUAACAAGGUCUCCGUAGGUGAACCUGCGGAAGGAUCAUUAACACGUUCUAAACGUAUCAACCAACUGUGCACAUAUACCCUCCCUGUCUGCAUGUCUCGUGUCACAGCGCGACGUGUGAAUGGGCCAAAUGUGAACGUCAGAUCGACACGUGAGAGUUGCGAGGUGAGAAUUUUCGAAUUUUCUUCUCGUCUCUCUUCACGCGUUCGAUUUGUCGUUCGCUUCUACUUUCACUUUUUUCACCCCAUGAUAUUAUCUUCAGUUGACUUAUUUUCGAGCGGCUCGUGUCUUUAUUGCCACUGUCUCUCUCCAUUUACCACGUAAAUGAAAAUACAACUCUUAGCAAUGGAUAUCUUGGUUCUC
rnacentral:misc_RNA from 1 species